rnacentral:rRNA from 1 species
UACGUAGGGUGCGAGCGUUGUCCGGAAUUAUUGGGCGUAAAGAGCUCGUAGGCGGUCUGUCGCGUCUGCUGUGAAAACCCGAGGCUCAACCUCGGGCUUGCAGUGGGUACGGGCAGACUAGAGUGCGGUAGGGGGAGAAUGGAAUUCCUGGUGUAGCGGUGGAAUGCGCAGAUAUCAGGAGGAACACCGGUGGCGAAGGCGGGUCUCUGGGCCGAUACUGACGCUGAGGAGCGAAAGCGUGGGGAGCGAACAGG